rnacentral:rRNA from 1 species
GGGUUCGGCUGUUCGCCGAUUAAAGCGGUACGUGAGCUGGGUUUAAAACGUCGCGAGACAGUUUGGUCCCUAUCUGCCACGGGCGCAGGAUACUUGAGGGGAGCUGCCCCUAGUACGAGAGGACCGGGGCGGACGAACCUCUGGUGUACCAGUUGUCACGCCAGUGGCACAGCUGGGUAGCCACGUUCGGACGGGAUAACCGCUGAAAGCAUCUAAGCGGGAAGCCCACCCCAAGAUGAGGUAUCCCGUGGCGUAAGCCACCUGAAGAGCCCUCGUAGACUACGAGGUUGAUAGGCCGGAGGUGUAAGCGCAGCAAUGCGUUGAGCUUACCGGUACUAAUCGCUCGUGAGGCUUGACCAC